rnacentral:rRNA from 1 species
GAUGAACGCUGGCGGCGUGCCUAAUACAUGCAAGUCGAGCGAACGGACGAGAAGCUUGCUUCUCUGAUGUUAGCGGCGGACGGGUGAGUAACACGUGGAUAACCUACCUAUAAGACUGGGAUAACUUCGGGAAACCGGAGCUAAUACCGGAUGAUAUUUUGAACCGCAUGGUUCAAAAGUGAAAGACGGUCUUGCUGUCACUUAUAGAUGGAUCCGCGCUGCAUUAGCUAGUUGGUAAGGUAACGGCUUACCAAGGCAACGAUGCAUAGCCGACCUGAGAGGGGGAUCGCCCAACAGGGAACGGAGACCCGGCCCAGACCCCUAGGGGGGGCAGCAGCGGGAAAUUUUCGGAAAGGGGCGAAAGCCUAAGGGGGAAACGCGGGGGGGGUGAGAAGGUGUUGCGGACCGAAAAACGUUUUUUUUGGGAAAAAAAAAAUUGGAAAGUAACUGGCACAAUCUUAAGGGAACCAAAUAAAAAACCCCCGCCAAACUAGGG